CACCUCUCAGGGUUGCAACUGGAGAGUUUCCAGUACUCUACCAGUCUCGACUACGGGAGGGAGAGUCAAGCUGAGGCAUAUCCAUUCCAUUCCAUUCCUAGCUUGAGCAGUGGCUAGCAAGUGGAAGAAAAUCUGCUAAAAGU